rnacentral:tRNA from 1 species
GCCGACGUGGCUCAGUGGUAGAGCAGCUGUCUCGUAAACAGCAGGUCAGGGGUUCAAAUCCCCUCUUCGGCU